AUCAGGGUAGCCUAGUGGACAUGGCAUCUGCCCGGUAAGCGGAACACUGUGGGUUCGAUUCCCAUCCCUGGACA